rnacentral:rRNA from 1 species
UACGUAGGGUGCGAGCGUUGUCCGGAAUUAUUGGGCGUAAAGGGCUCGUAGGCGGUCUGUUGCGUCGGGAGUGAAAACUCAGGGCUUAACCCUGAGCCUGCUUCCGAUACGGGCAGACUAGAGGUAUGCAGGGGGAGAACGGAAUUCCUGGUGUAGCGGUGAAAUGCGCAGAUAUCAGGAGGAACACCGGUGGCGAAGGCGGUUCUCUGGGCAUUACCUGACGCUGAGGAGCGAAAGUGUGGGGAGCAAACAGG